CACAUCAUCAGGACUGAAUGACAUCAUCAGGAAUGACAUCAUCACCCCCUAGUCCCUCCUCACUUGGGGGUCCUGGGAAGUCUCCACUCCCCAAUUUAAUUACAUCAUCAGUAUUGCUCUGCAGUUACACCCCAUGAUGUCAUCACCACAUCCCCACCUGCUCUGAUGACAUCAUCAUCGUAUGACAUCAUCACUGGAGCCUCCAGCUCCCCUCACUUGAGCUUCCCAGGGAGUCUACACCCCCAUUUGAUUACAUCAUCAGUGUCACCCCAUGAUGUCAUCACCACAUCCCCACCCGCUUUGAUGACAUCACCAGCUCCCUCCCACUCCAAUGCCCCCCCAGCAAUGACAUCAUCAGCUGCCCAUGACAUCAUCCCAAUGAAGUCACCCCCUCACCUCCUCCUCUUCCUCGCCGCUCUCCUCCUCUUCCUCCUCCUCCCCUCUCUCCGGGGGGUUCCGGGGGGCUGUGGGGGGGGUCCCGGGGGGGCUCUGGGGGUCUCCCCCCGGGCAGCCGGUGGCCAGGGCGGCGGCCAGGGCGGGGCCACGCCGGGCCAGAGCCCCCAGGGCCGCCCCCACCCCCCCAACGUCCCCUCCCCGUGCCCGGGCAAAAAGGGUCACCAGCUCUCGGCUCACCUGCAGGGGGACACUGGGAUGGACUGGGAACCACUGGGAGGGACUGGGAACCACUGGGAGGGCACUGGGAUGGACUGGGAACCACUGGGAGGGACUGGGAACCACUGGGGAGGGGACUGGGAUGGACUGGGAACCACUGGGGAGGGGACUGGGAUGGACUGGGGAUCACUGGGGAGGGGACUGGGAUGGACUGGGGAUCACUGGGAAGGACUGGGAACCACCAGGGAGGGGACUGGGAUGGACUGGGAACCACUGGGGAGGGCACUGGGAGGGACUGGGGGUGCUGAGGGGCGAUGUGUGGGACUGGGAUGUACUGGGAGGAAGUAAAAGAGCCCUGAGAACAGACUGGUCUAUACUGGGAGGCGCUGGGAGCACCAAAGGAUGGUGAGAACAGCCUGGGGAUGCAAUGGGAUGAACUGGGAGUGGCUGCUGGGAACAUCCUUGUCCAUACUGGUUUAUACUGGGAGCUACUGGGAGAACUUGGAAGGGACCAACGGUACCAGGAAGAGACAAAGGCCACUAGAAGAUGCUGAGAGCAGCCCGAGGACAAACUGGGCUGUACUGGGAGCGCCUGGGGGAGGCUGGCCAGCUGUUGGGAGCUCUCUGCUCCAUACUGGUCCAUACUGGUCCAUACUGGGAGCCCACCUGCUGCAGGCUGCCGUCCUCCACCACCGUGUCGAACUCGUUGUCCAUCACCUCGGCCAGGAAAUCUUCAACCUCCUCCUGCUCCAGGUCA
rnacentral:lncRNA from 1 species